CUGCAUGUGCCUGAAUAAAAAAUGUCAAGAUUUGAUCUCUCUAUCAGGAGAUCAUGAGUCAGAGUUAAUUUGACUUGGAAAUCAGGAGUCUUGUGACUUUUUACCUGAGAGUUGGCA